rnacentral:rRNA from 1 species
CAGACCUUACCAUCCCUGCAUGCAUGUUACCAGAGAGAUUGGGUCUCUUCGGAGCGUGCACACAGGUGCUGCAUGCUGUCUCAGCUCGUGUCGUGAGAUGUUGGUUAAGUCCGCACGAGCGAACCCACGUCCUUAGUUGCCAUCAUUCAUUGGCAUCUAGGGAGACUGCCGGUGAUAAGCCGCGAGGAGGUGUGGAUGACGUCAAGUCCUCAUGGCCCUUACGGGAUGGCUACACACGUGCUACAAUGGCGUUGACAGAGGGACGCGAAGGGGCGACUUGGAGCAAAUCCCGAAAAACCGUCUCAGUUCGGAUUGCACUCUGCAACUCGGGUGCAUGAAGGCGGAAUCGCUAGUAAUCGUGGAUCAGCAUGCCACGGUGAAUACGUUCCCGGGCCUUGUACACACCGCCCGUCACACCAUGGGAGUUGGUCUUACCCGACGGCGCUGCGCCAACCGCAAGGAGGCAGGCGACCACGGUAGGGUCAGCGACUGGGGUGAAGUCGUAACAAGGUAACCGUA